GAUGAACGCUGGCGGCGUGCCUAAUACAUGCAAGUCGAGCGAACAGAUGAGGAGCUUGCUCCUCUGACGUUAGCGGCGGACGGGUGAGUAACACGUGGAUAACCUACCUAUAAGACUGGGAUAACUUCGGGAAACCGGAGCUAAUCCCGGAUAAUAUAUUGAACCGCAUGGUUCAAUAGUGAAAGACGGUUUUGCUGUCACUUAUAGAUGGAUCCGCGCCGCAUUAGCUAGUUGGUAAGGUAACGGCUUACCAAGGCAACGAUGCGUAGCCGACGUGAGAGGGUGAUCGGCCACACUGGAGCUGAGACACGGACAAGACGCCUACGGGAGGCAGCAGUAGGGAAUCUUCCGCAAUGGGCGAGAGCCUGACGGAGCAACGCCGCGUGAGUGAUGAAGGUCUUCGGAUCGUAAAACUCUGUUAUUAGGGAAGAACAAAUGUGUAAGUAACUAUGCACGGCUUGACGGUACCUAAUCAGAAAGCCACGGCUAACUACGUG
rnacentral:rRNA from 1 species